GCACGAGUAAUCGCCACGAGACGUCUGG
rnacentral:sRNA from 1 species